rnacentral:piRNA from 1 species
ACCACUUAGAACACAGCUGUCAGCGCCA